rnacentral:lncRNA from 1 species
GUUCUUCAUCUGAGCUGAAUCAUGUUCAACGUCACAGUGUCGUGUUCAGAGAUUCAGACUCCUGUGGGGUUUGUGUACGUGAUUCUGUCUGUUUUACUGAAUAAAACACACAAUCCUGACUGUGAUCAGAGCUGGUAUUCACAGGAUGAUCGUCUGAUAGCAGAUCCAUCAGAUCCUCAAACACUGAUUGAUCCUGUGACGUCUGUCUCUUCUGAUCGUCUCGUCACGUCUCAGUGUGUGAAUCUGAAUCAUGAGAUCAUCUGUCACGCUGCAGGAUUCAGAUGUGACACCGUGUUCAGAGUGUUUAAUGACUCCAUCAGUGAAUCGACUCAAGCUCCAGAAUCACAUCAGUUGUGCUGGAUUCCUGCUCUGAUCUUCAUUGUUCUUCUGGCUUUAAUCUGUUUCUUGCUGCAUAAAAGGAUCUUCAGAUGUUUUCAGAGCAUCUUUCAGUGCAACGAUUCAGAAAACAGGGAUCCUGAAUCUGUUGUCCGCGUGAAGCUCAGAUCUGAUGAAUCUGAUUCGCUGAAACAAUCUGAAUCUGAGCUUAUCAACAGCUCCAUGUCCAGAGGAUGA